UACGCAGGGUGCGAGCGUUAAUCGGAAUUACUGGGCGUAAAGUGUGCGCAGGCGGCUGAGCAAGUCGAGUGUGAAAGCCCCGGGCUUAACUUGGGAAUUGCGCUCGAAACUACUUGGCUGGAGUGUGGCAGAGGAAGGUGGAAUUCCACGUGUAGCGGUGAAAUGCGUAGAGAUGUGGAGGAACACCAAUGGCGAAGGCAGCCUUCUGGGCCAACACUGACGCUCAUGCACGAAAGCGUGGGGAGCAAACAGG
rnacentral:rRNA from 1 species